rnacentral:rRNA from 1 species
GACGAACGCUGGCGGCGAGCUUAACACAUGCAAGUCGACCGGAAGGGCCCUGCUUUUGUGGGGUGCUCGAGUGGCGAACGGGUGAGUAACCCGUGAGUAUCCUGCCCUUGACUUUGGGAUAAUUUCUGCAAACUGGGGCCAAUACCUGAUAGGAGCUCCUGUUGCAUGGUGUGGGUUGUAAAGUCUAGGCGGUUGGUGAUGGACUCGCGGCUUAUCAGCUUGUUGGUGGGGGAGUGACUUACCAAGGCUGUGAGGGGUAGCCGGCCUGAGAGGGUGACCGGCCACAUUGGGACUGAGAUACGGCCCAGACGCCGACGGGAGGCAGCAGGGGGGAAUAGUGCACAAGGGGCGGAAGCCUGAUGCAGCAACGCCGCGUGCGGGAUGACGGCCUUCGUGUUGUAAGCCGCUUUCGCCGGUGGCGAAGCGUGAGUGACGGUAAUGGGUAAAGAGGCACCGGCUAACUACGUG